ensembl:antisense 1700034H15Rik RIKEN cDNA 1700034H15 gene
GGCGCGCCCGCCUCGACCCCCGCGCGGCCCGCCUUGCGCGCGCCCUUGGCGAGGUGGCCGUGGCCGUGGCCGUGCGAGUGGCCGUGGCCCGCGCCCUGGCCCUCGCCGCUGUGAUGGUGGAACAGACAGAGCCCCAGCACGUUGACCAGCAGCCCCGCCACGCCGACGCUCAGCACCACGAGCGGCUGCUGCAUCUCAUGCGGCUCGAUGAAGCGCUCGACGGCUUCCAGCAGGAUGGCGAAGCACAGCCCCGUGAGGAAGAUGGCGUUCACCAGUGCGCCCAUCACCUCAGCGCGGAUCCAGCCGAACGUGUUCUUCUGCGUGGCGUGAGUCCUCCGGGCGAAGCGCUCGGCCACCAGCGCCACUACGAGCGCCAGCACGUCCGACAGCAUGUGGAAGGAGUCGGACAGCAUGGCGAGCGACGCGGUCACCCGGCUCACCACCACCUCCAGCACCAUGAACAUGAAGGAAUAAUGAAAAUGGGGCCCAAGUUCUGCAGUCAUGGCAGGAAGGACAAGGCUGUGAAUUUGUGAGGCAGAAUCUACAAGCAAUGAAUGAGUGGAGAGCCCAUGCAGCUAAGAAAUUUGUUCCAUGCCCCACAGCUUGUGACUGUGGGACUCUGUGGACAUGAAGCCUGGCUUGUAACUUCACACCUUCAUUGGGGUAGCAAGCUGGUCUGAAGCUCAAGACCACAUGAAGCCCUACAGAGUCUGCUCCCUCCUGCUUCCUGUUCCUCUACACCGCUGGCUCUGUGAGUCUUUCGUUAAUUUGUAAUUACUAUAAGCACUAAGGGGAGGUGGCCUACUUGCUAGUGACACCUCUCUUUAACAGGUCACUCCAAGGUCUGAUUCUCUAGUGACGCAUUCCAAAAUUGGGUCCUCUUUACAUAUAGUUCUGUGGGGUGAAUUAGUGCCAUGUUCUGCCUGCUGCUUUGGUCAGUGUAACCACUACCUGUGGUUUCUUUGACAACCUGGAUGUCUUCCAAAGAACUUGAUGAAAAUGCUGUCAUUUCCACCUUUAGCAUACACCAGAGUCACUUGGGAACUUGCUAGGAUGCAGGUUCAGGUCCUGAAGGCCUACAGUGGGGCCUGGGAGCCUGCGUUUCCAGCUCGUGGUGUCUGUAAUCAGCUGCAUUUUGUGUCUCUAGAGUGUAAGCUCACAGCAGCAUUUUACUGUGAAAUGCUACCUUGUAGCCCAGGCUACCUUGUAGUCAAGUGAUUCUCUUGCCUCUGUUUCCCAAGGAGCUGAGCUACAUGUCUGUGCUACUCUGCUCUGCUCAUGAGCUUCCUGCCAAUCCCCAAAGGGAGAUAUUGUAUGGUGUUAACUUAUUCCCAGGGGGAAAUGCCCUUAACUUUAAACUUUGCUUCCUUGUGCUUACUUCAUACUCAUCAGCUGUGUUUUAAGAUGAGCAGGUAUUGCUUUUAUAUUCAAAUGUUAAACAAAUACACACCUUACCCUUGU